rnacentral:lncRNA from 1 species
UUCAGUGAAGUCAUCGAAACUUACUUUGUACAUAGCAUUAAGAUCGAAAUAACAUUAAGAUCAAAACGACGUCGAAGUAGAGGUCGCAAAAGAGAUGCUUGGGAAUGUAGCCGAAGACCCUACGCUUAUUAAACGUACUGCGGGCCAUCCCAACCGAAGUUUUUAACAACUAUAUGGACAAUAGGAAUAAGCAUUGACAUGUUUGCAUUGGCUCAGGACCCUAUAUUGAAGCCAAGCAUGCUUGUGUGCUCUCCCUGCUGGUGAUGGCUUUUCUUGUUGCCGAAGUCAAAACAGCAAUAACAACAGCAACAGCAGCACUUUUCCAAUGAAAGCAAAGCGAAAGAAGGAAAUGCAACGCAAAACUAUUUUCCCGCGAGUGAGCAAACUUGGCCAAAAACGAUGGUUUAACGAUGCAAAUAUUUUGCGAAAGCAACAACAAUGUACUAUGCAGGCAUACGUGUAUUAGUGGCCAACAACAGAGCUG